GAUGAAGAACGUAGCGAAAUGCGAUAAGUAAUGUGAAUUGCAGAAUUCAGUGAAUCAUCGAAUCUUUGAACGCACAUUGCGCCCGCCAGUAUUCUGGCGGGCAUGCCUGUUCGAGCGUCAUUUCAACCAUCAAGCCCCAGGCUUGUGUUGGGGACCUGCGGAUGCCGCAGGCCCUGAAAACCAGUGGCGGGCUCGCUGUCACACCGGGCGUAGUAGAUUUUAUCUCGCUCAGGGCGUGCUGCGGGUCCCGGCCGUUAAAAGCCUUUUUUUACCCAAGGUUGACCUCGGAUCAGGUAGGAAGACCCGCUGAACUUAAGCAUAUCAAUAAGCGGAGGA
rnacentral:misc_RNA from 1 species